rnacentral:tRNA from 1 species
GUGGUUGUAGCUCAGUUGGUUAGAGCGUUGGACUGUGGCUCCAAAGGUCGGGGGUUCGAGUCCCCUCAGCCACCCCA